AGUGAACGCUGGCGGUAGGCCUAACACAUGCAAGUCGAACGGCAGCACAGUAAGAGCUUGCUCUUACGGGUGGCGAGUGGCGGACGGGUGAGGAAUACAUCGGAAUCUACUUUUUCGUGGGGGAUAACGUAGGGAAACUUACGCUAAUACCGCAUACCACCUACGGGUGAAAGCCGGGGAUCUUCGGACCUUGCGCGAUUGAAUGAGCCGAUGUCGGAUUAGCUAGUUGGCGGGGGAAAGGCCCACCAAGGCGACGAUGCGUAGCUGGUCUGAGAGGAGGAUGAGCCACACUGGAACUGAGACACGGUCCAGACUCCUACGGGAGGCAGCAGUGGGGAAUAUUGGACAAUGGGGGCAAGCCUGAUCCAGCAAUACCGCGUGGGUGAAGAAGGCCUUCGGGUUGUAAAGCCCUUUUGUUGGGAAAGAAAAGCAGCAGGUUAAUACCCCGCUGUUCUGACGGUACCCAAAGAAUAAGCACCGGCUAACUUCGUG
rnacentral:rRNA from 1 species